UUUUAUUUAUUCCCUUUUGUUGCCCUUGUUGUUUUAUUGUUGUAGUUAUUAUUGUUGUUGUUGGAUAGGACAGAGAGAAAUGGAGAGAGGAGGGGAAGACAGAGAGGAGGAGAGAAAGACAGACACCUGCAGACCUGCUUCACUGCCUGUGAAGCGACUCCCCUGAAGGUGGGGAGCCGGGGUUCGAACCGGGAUCCUUAUGCGGGUCCUUGUGCUUUGCGCCACCUGAGCUUAACCCGCUGCGCUACAGCCCGACUCCCUUCCCCACCCUUUUUACGUGUUUAUUUAACCAGAAUACUGCUCAACUCUAGCUGAUGGUGGUACUGAGGAUAGAACCCGGGACCUCAAAACCUCAGGCAGGAGAGUCUUUUAGUAGAACCGUGAUGCUGUCUCACCAGCUUGGGAUGAAAAUAUUCUCUUUGUCUUGGUCUUCUUCUGAAUGUUACUGGCUCAGUGGCAAAGAACAUGAGUUAAUCUGGGGCAGGUGUGCUAUUAUUCAUUCUUCAAGGGACAUUCUCCACCUGAGCCGGCAUGGUUUAAGCCUCAGAGCCUUGGCUGAAGAACUUUUGUGCCUCUGAGGGGGUGUCCUGUCUGGAAGACAAGUUUUUCUGCAGUUGCUUUCCUGUUCUGAGCUGUGGCCAAGGAGGGGGUGGUGCUGCGCUCUGCUGCCCUUAGAGGGCGCUCCUGCCUGCUGUCUGGUCUCUCCACCAGUCCCCAUCGUCCCCCGCCUCCCCCCCCCCCCCCCAAGAGUCCUCUGCUGUGGGACAAGUGAGAUCAAUUGGCUUAUCUGCCUCCCCUUUAGGGAUUAAGGCAGGAAGGACCCCUGACUCACUAAUUCUGGGAGCAAUGAACACUGAGGCUGAGGGUAACUGCCAGUCGCUGUGGGUGAGGGAAGUGCUUUGAAGCAGACCCUGAAGACACCCCAGCUCCUUGGCAGGCAAGUCCACAGCUGUAGCAGCUGGAGGAGGAGAGCAAGGGUGACAGUGACCAGAAGGGAGGGGGUGACCCCUGAGCCCUGGGUCCCUUCUGAGCCAGGUGCUUUUGGUCUGUUUAGCCAGAGCACCGCUGAACUUUGGCUCUUGGUGGUGCCGGGGGACUGAACCCGGGUCCUGGUGAGUGCUGGUCCUAGGUGUUACUGCUGUGCUAUCUCUCUGGCCCAGGGUGAGUUUUGAUGAAUUCCAUUUACACCCUCUUGGAUUUGCUGUGCAUCCUGGGAGAGAAAGGCUGAACCAACCAGAGGCAGGUAUGUAAGGAAUUAAGAGGGGAGAAGAAAGAAGACACCUGCAGCCCUGCACUGGUUGUGAAACAUCCCUUUUGUAGGUGGGGGCUAGGGGCUUGAACCUGGGCCCUUGAGCAUGGAGAGUGAGAGGGACUAGAGCCCUGCUCAGCUCUGGCUGGUGGCGGUGCCAAGGACUGAACCUGGGUCCUAAAGUGCCAAGCCAGCUCCCCAACAGCUGUGGUCUUUCUGCCUCCUCUCAACAACUGUCCUUUAUUGUUUUCUGUAAAAGGUAGUGUUGGGUAUCAGCAUUUGUGUGUGGUCCAGAAAUCUCAGGACCCAGCAGGAACCUGGGGAGGGGCUGGGGAGUUGGGCCAGAAAGGACUAGGUUUUUCUUCACAGCUGUGUCACAGCCCUUUAUUUUAUUUUAAUUUGAGGUUUAAUGGUAUAUAGGAUAGUCUUUAACCCACGGGCACAGCCUCUUGUCUCCCCUUGGUGUCUAGGAGACACACCAGGACACCAGUGGCCCUUCAUCCUGUCUUCCAUCCUCCCUCCCUCCCUCCCCAGAGUCCUUUGCUUUGGCGAGAUAUGCCACACCCAUGCUUUGACUCUAGUGCUUGGAAGAAGAGACCUGGGAGACUAGGCAGGCUGUGGGCUCUCGCUCUGUGUGUGUGUGUCUCUCUCUCUCAGAAUAUAACGGGUCCAAUUCCACACUGCUCCCAUCACCAGAGUUUUGUGCCUCCAUUGGAAACUGCAGUGGUUCUCUCAAGGUCACAGAUAUGGGCUAUUAUUUCUAUAACUAUCCAUAAUUCUAUAUACCUGCCCAUUUUUUUCCUGUGGCCCUGCCUUCUUUUUUAUGAUUUUUUAAAAUUUUUAUUUAUUCUCCCUUUUCUUGUCCUUGUUGUUUUUCGUUAUAGUUAUUAUUGUUGUUAUUGCUGCUAUUGUUGUUGGAUAGGACAGAGAGAAAUCAAGAGAGGAGGGGAAGACAGAGGGGGAGAAAAAGACAGACACUGCAGACCUGCUUCACCGCUUAUGAAGUGAUUGCCCCACAGAUGGGGAGCCGGGGGCUUGAACCGGGAUCCUAUGUCAAGUGUGGGGACAUGACUCCCCCCAAAUCACCACUGGCCAUAUCCUGAGAGCUCCCGGGGAAAAAAAAAAAGAACCUUCAGAAGACAAGCCAAGCAGAUGCUGGAGAGAGGUAGCUCUAAUGUGAAGUGGAGGGGACAGAUGUGGUCAAAAGCCAAGGUAACGUGGAUGCACAGUGCAGCUGACAAGCACUCUUUUUAAAUAUUUAUUUACUUAUUCAAAAAUGGCCACUGGGAGCAGUGGAUCCAUAGUGCUGGCAUUGAGCCCCAACGAUAACCACUUCACAAGUGGUGAAGCAGGGCUGCAGGUGGCAAAAGAGGUACAUUAUCCAGGUAAGCUAUUCACUAGUCCUUAAACACUUUUUUUUUUUGCCUUAUCCAGGAA